CCUUUUGGUUAAGAAGUGUUUUUUUUAAUAGAUAUAGGCAUAAAUUAGUAUACCUAAUUUUGGUUUUGUUAGGUUUUCUAUUUCUUUAACGGUAAAAGGCAAAUCUUUUCUGACACAUGUAGACAUUUGAUCAAUAGACUUGACACAUCGCACAAUCUUAUGAGUUACUAACUUUGAAAACCAUACUUUAUAUAAUAAAAUAAAUA
rnacentral:sRNA from 1 species